GUUAGAGGGCGGUCAGAGUGUACAGAAUAUGUAUUGGAGCAGGGGUGACCGCUGGGCCUCCAAGGGAGCCACGUGCAGACAUGUGCAAUCUUCGGUCUCCCGACCUCUAGGGUUUGCUGUUGGCAGAAACUAGACUUUUAAAUGGACCAGGAUGAGUCUGGAUGUGGGAAAGGAUUGCAUGAGGAUGGUUUACUUUGGCAUCAUCUGUUAACGUCCUGUAAGUCAGAAGCCAUGUGUGACAUUGUGUGUUGAUGUCAGCCUUAUCUUCCCUUGGCUUUGUUCAGCAUGUCCUGUAACAGAAAGUUCCUUUAACUGGAGUUGGAACACAAGACAAGGCCUCUUGAAAGAAAGACUGACCCUGUUCUCCUGAAAGUGAAGCAGUUGCCCAAGGUUAUUGUGUAUGCAGCCUGAGUUCAAAAGGCUGUGCCCAUUCUUUGGAAAAUCAAUUAUUGUUAGACCUUGGUAAAAUUUCUAACUUUGUAAUCUUCCUACUUGGAAAAAGAAAAUAAAAUCUUUAAAGUCAAAA